AUUGUACAGCUUUGCCAAGGACCAUGAAGGAGACAGACACAGCUCUAUGAGGGGGCUUUGAGGUAGGAAGACAGACAAGUGUGGUGUCACGAAGAACCCAGGAAACCUGACGAGGAUCUGGUUUUGCCGCCCCUACCUGUGUGGCCGUUGGCGAGUUCCUGGACUCUCUGGACCUCUGUUUCUUUUCACUCUUCAUAAAGAACCUGGCUACAGCUGUGAGGAAAGAGACACCCUUUUCCUCUGGGAUGAUGAGACAUGACAUCACAGAGCACUGAACUUGUCACCAGAUCUGGUGACCAUGAAGUUACCUGAAGGAGACUGCUGAUGACCUGAGACACCAUUAGGAA